CUCUCUCUCUCUCUCGUUUUCUCGCUCGAUUGAGUGACGUAUUAACUUGGGCGUAUACACAGGUAGCUGGAGGAGAGAGAGAGAGAGAGAGACGCUUUGCUUUCUUCUCGACCGGACCGGAUGGCUGGAACUUGGAAAAACUUGGAACUCGCAAUGUGGAAUUUUGGAGCCGUCGCCGACGACGAGGGUCGCUAUCCGGGGCUUGCUGGCUUAGCCGGCGACAGCAUCUCAGAGGGGGAGCCUUGAGAGGACAUUCUUGCGCUCCACAGGGAUCGAUCUUCUCUUUCUCCACUCGAGGAUUAAACAAGGAGUAAAAACCAAUCAGGGAGGUGAAAAGACUGUGCCUGGAGCACUGGAGCUGUGGAGAUGGAGCUGAGAGUUUUUUUGCCACCACCACCACCACCACCGCGCUGCGCUGCUCGACUCGAGAGCGCGAGGGACAUCGCAGUACACAUGAACCGAGAGAGACUAGCGACGGGUAUUUUGAUUUUCAUGCCGCUCUAGCCAUUGCUGUUAAAAGGUUUUAACACCGCGCAUUCAAUGUGGAGUCCAGGACUAGAUGGAGCGAAAAGAAAAUCGAUCAAAGCAUUUGCGCAAAAGAUUUGAUGGAUUUCCAAAGAAGAAGAAAAGCCAUUUGGAUUUCCAAAGGGAAAGAGAACCAUUUGGAUUUAAGAAACGAGAAUUGCCAAAGAUUGCAGAAAACCAUUUC